UACGAAGGGGGCUAGCGUUGCUCGGAAUCACUGGGCGUAAAGCGCACGUAGGCGGCUUCUUAAGUCAGGGGUGAAAUCCUGGAGCUCAACUCCAGAACUGCCCUUGAUACUGAGGAGCUCGAGUCCGGAAGAGGUGAGUGGAACUGCGAGUGUAGAGGUGAAAUUCGUAGAUAUUCGCAAGAACACCGGUGGCGAAGGCGGCGAUCUGGACGAUGACUGACGCUGAGACGCGAAAGCGUGGGGAGCAAACAGG
rnacentral:rRNA from 1 species